UUAUAGCGACUGAGGAGGGACAUUACAAGUGACCCCGGUUUACCACCGGGAUGUUCAUAACCCUUUGUUGUCCGACUCUGUUGCCUCCGGGGCGACCCUGCCUUCGGGCGGGGGCUCCGGGUGGACACUUCAAACUCUUGCGUAACUUUGCAGUCUGAGUAAACUUAAUUAAUAAAUUAAAACUUUUAACAACGGAUCUCUUGGUUCUGGCAUCGAUGAAGAACGCAGCGAAAUGCGAUAAGUAAUGUGAAUUGCAGAAUUCAGUGAAUCAUCGAAUCUUUGAACGCACAUUGCGCCCCCUGGUAUUCCGGGGGGCAUGCCUGUUCGAGCGUCAUUUCACCACUCAAGCCUCGCUUGGUAUUGGGCAACGCGGUCCGCCGCGUGCCUCAAAUCGACCGGCUGGGUCUUCUGUCCCCUAAGCGUUGUGGAAACUAUUCGCUAAAGGGUGCUCGGGAGGCUACGCCGUAAAACAACCCCAUUUCUAAGGUUGACCUCGGAUCAGGUAGGGAUACCCGCUGAACUUAAGCAUAUCAAAA
rnacentral:rRNA from 1 species